rnacentral:tRNA from 2 species
GUUUUAGUAAUUUAAUAAAAAAUACUGGUCUUGUAAAUCAGCUAUAGGAUUAAUCCUCUAAAACA